GGAGGGUGCAAGCGUUAAUCGGAAUUACUGGGCGUAAAGCGCGCGUAGGCGGUUUGGUCAGUCGGAUGUGAAAGCCCUGGGCUCAACCUGGGAAUGGCAUUCGAUACUGCCUGACUAGAGUAUGGUAGAGGGAAGUGGAAUUUCCGGUGUAGCGGUGAAAUGCGUAGAUAUCGGAAGGAACACCAGUGGCGAAGGCGACUUCCUGGGCCAAUACUGACGCUGAGGUGCGAAAGCGUGGGGAGCAAACAGGGAUUAGAUACCCUGGUAGUCCACGCCGUAAACGAUGAGAACUAGAUGUCGGGAGGGUUGCCUUUCGGUGUCGCAGCUAACGCGUUAAGUUCUCCGCCUGGGGAGUACGCCGGCAACGGUA
rnacentral:rRNA from 1 species